GCCGGGAUAGCUCAGUUGGUAGAGCAACUGAUUUGUAAUCAGUUGGUCCGGGGUUCGAGUCCCCGUCUCGGCUCCA
rnacentral:tRNA from 1 species